rnacentral:misc_RNA from 1 species
ACGCGUAGGUCUUACGGCCGACCUCCCAAACCCCUGUGAACAUACCUAUCGUUGCUUCGGCGGGAUGCCCCAGUUUGACGCAAGCUGGACCCAGGCGCCCGCCGGAGGACCCAAACUCUUGUUUUAUUUAUGUAUCUUCUGAGUAAACAAGCAAAUAAAUUA